AGCGCUGCGAUGACUGCGGC
rnacentral:misc_RNA from 1 species